ensembl:lincRNA
ACAUCCUGGAGCGUAGUUUUAACCCUCCAUCCUUAUGCCUGUGGAUACCUAGCAAGGACACAGAGCACCUACCCAGCGAGCAUGCACAAGGUCUCCCUAAUGUCUCAAAAAGCCCCAACAGGAAAUCUGUGUCUACCAGGAACCUUCCAGUUGCUCUCAGCUUCCUGUUUGUGGUUGUGAUGUGAACUCAGCUUCCUGCUCUUGCUGCCAGGCCUCUUGACCAACACAGACCCUUAUCUCUCCGGAACCGGUCUCAUGGUAUAGUUAUGUCCGGAGACCAGGCUGGCCUCCAGCUUGCAGCAAUCCUCCUGUCUCUGCCUCUGGAGUACCUGGGUCACCACACCUAGCUAGAAGUCUUUAUUGGUAUGGAAGCUUCCCUCUUUGCACUGGGAGGAGAGGAUCU